CUUGCCAUUCCCACUCUGUUCCUGCACUGUGAGAGCAACAUGUGGAAUUCCCCUUUGCAGCAUGCCCACAUUACACCUCACAAACAUCCUUUGUUUGCAUGGCCAGAGUCCCAGUGGUCAGUAAAGCUACACUAGGUAGCUGCCAGCACACACAUCAGGAAACCAUGCUGUCAUCCCAGGGCACUUUGAGAAAAUGGCAUACAAUAGGCUCCUCAGGAUCCUGCUUGCAGUAGAACUGCAGGAUGGGUCACUGCUGUGGUAAUGAAGCAACAGUUGGUUUUCAGUGGGCUGCUCUCUAGGCUGCCAGCGCUUGUCCCUCUCCUCACAGAGUGCUCCAUUGCUCUGCAGGCUCAGU